rnacentral:tRNA from 1 species
GCGCCAGUAGCUCAGGUGGAUAGAGCAGCGGUCUUCUAAACCGCGGGUCGGGGGUUCGAAUCCCUCCUGGCGUGCCA